rnacentral:rRNA from 1 species
AACCCUUGACAUCCUGGUCGCGGUUCCGACCCCUUAUAAGCUUCAGUUCGGCUGGACCAGUGACAGGUGCUGCAUGGCUGUCGUCAGCUCGCGUCGUGAGAUGUUCGGUUAAGUCCGGCAACGAGCGCAACCCACGUCUUUAGUUGCCAGCAGUUCGGCUGGGCACUCUAAAGAAACUGCCCGUGAUAAGCGGGAGGAAGGUGGGGAUGACGUCAAGUCCUCAUGGCCCUUACGGGUAGGGCUACACACGUGCUACAAUGGCAGUGACAAUGGGAUAAUCCCCAAAAGCUGUCUCAGUUCAGAUUGUCCUCUGCAACUCGAGGGCAUGAAGGUGGAAUCGCUAGUAAUCGUGGAUCAGCAUGCCACGGUGAAUACGUUCCC